rnacentral:lncRNA from 1 species
GAUGAUGGACUAAGCGGUGCUGUAGUUGUGCUGGCACUUUGUGAUGAUGGACUAAGUGAUGCUGUAGUUGUGCUGGCACUUUGUGAGGAUGGACUUAGUGAUGCUGUAGUUGUGCUGGCAAUUUGUGAUGAUGGACUGAGUGGUGCUGUAGUUGUGCUGGCACUUUCUGAUGAUGGACUGAGUGGUGCUGUAGUUGUGCUGAUACGUUGUGAUGACGGACUGAGUGGUACUGUAGUUGUGCUGGCACUUUGUGAUGAUGGACUAAGUGAUGCUGUAGUUGUGCUGGCACUUUCUGAUGAUGGACUGAGAGGUGCUGUAGUUGUGCUGGCAAUUUUUGAUGAUGUACUAUGUGAUGCUGUAGUUGUGCUGGAACUUUGUGAGGAUGGACUAAGUGGCGCUGUAGUUGUGCUGGUACUUUGUGAGGGUGGACUAAAUGGUGCUGUUGUUGUACUGGAACUUUGUGAUGAUGGACUAAGUGAUGCUGAAAUUGUGCUGGCACUUUGUGAGGAUGGACUGAGUGGUGCUGUAGUUGUGCUGGUACUUUCUGAUGAUGAACUAAGUGAUGCUGUAGGUGUGCUGACACUUUCUGAGGAUGGACUAAGUGAUACUGUAGUUGUGCUGGUGGUUUGUGAUAAUGUAUUGAGUGGUGCUGAAGUCUCAGUGACAGGAGGUGAGGUUGAGGUGACUGAAGCUGAGGUUGCAGUAAUUGUUGAUGUGUUUUCAGUAGGUGAUGUUUUGCUCAGUGUUGGUGUUGGGAAAACUAAUGGUGAAAGCAAAUUGGUCAUUUAAAAAGAAUUGUGUUCUGUUAAAAAAAAUACAAUGUGCCACACUUUGUAGUACUGAUAAUCUUGUUAUUAGCAGUUUUCAGAUGAUAAAUAACAAAAACUUAUUUUAGAUUUGAAAAUAAAUCUACAAUUAGUAUAUAUAACUGGUUGUGUUUUAAUAUUACCUGUUGUGGAUGGUUGAUUUCCAGUAGUAAAGGGAACACUUGAAGUGGCAGCUCCUGCUAGAUAGAGAAAAUGAUCAAAUUUAAAUAUAAUUUGAUCAUUUUAUUUGGUUCUACCUGGAGAACUAAAUUGAUGUCAUGAACAAGAACAUCUUCUCAAUCCUUUCUCUAAAUGUGUGUGCACAUUUGUGAUGAGGCAGGAAAUGUUUAAUUUUAAACUGCUUUAAGACGCUUUUCCAACAUUAAAAAAUGUCUUUAGACAUUUGUCUGCAAAGAAAUUGGUCAGUGGUAAGACAAAAGAGACUAAAAAAACAUGAAAUAGUUAUUGAGAGUCAUAUGCUUGGCUAUAUCGUUUUCACAAUUAUAUAUGA